UACAGAGGGUGCAAGCAUUAAUCGGAUUUACUGGGCGUAAAGGGCGCGUAGGCGGGCUGUCAAGUUUGGGGUGAAAUCCCGCGGCUCAACCGUGGAACUGCCUCAAAUACUGACGGCCUCGAGGAAGGUAGGGGCAUGCGGAACUGUAGGUGGAGCGGUGAAAUGCGUUGAUAUCUACAGGAACUCCGGUGGCGAAAGCGGCGUGCUGGACCUUUUCUGACGCUGAGGCGCGAAAGCUAGGGGAGCAAACGGG
rnacentral:rRNA from 1 species